rnacentral:tRNA from 1 species
GGAGAGAUGACCGAGUUGGCCGAUGGUGCUCGACUGCUAAUCGAGUGUGGGGUUAAAAGCUCCACCGAGGGUUCGAAUCCCUCUCUCUCCGCCA